rnacentral:rRNA from 1 species
UACGUAGGGUGCAAGCGUUGUCCGGAAUUAUUGGGCGUAAAGAGCUCGUAGGCGGUUUGUUGCGUCGGCUGUGAAAUCCCGAGGCUCAACCUCGGGUCUGCAGUCGAUACGAGCAAACUAGAGUGUUGCAGGGGAGACUGGAAUUCCUGGUGUAGCGGUGGAAAUGACGCAGAUAUCAGGAGGAACACCGGUGGCGAAGGCGGGUCUCUGGGCCGAUAUUGACGCUGGAGGAGCGAAAGCGUGGGGAGCGAACAGG